GGAGUCCAAGAACCUUUCGCAGCCAGCAUCAGGACGACAUGUUUAAUACAUUUCUAGCGAAAAAGGAAACCCUUUUCCUGGUGUGAUUAUGUACUUUUUUGAUUUCUAAUUCCUUUUGAGUGGUUGCGUAUCUCUGACAGAGAUACAAAAGUUUCUAAGGUAACUUUCUGAAACCUGUUCUUAUUGUGAACUUCCUGUAUUUUGUUGCUGCUACUUCUAGAAUCUGAUACUGGAUUAACGUACUUAUAGUCAUCCUGAGUAAUUUAUGGGAAAAACAAAUCACUUUUUUUAAAUUAAAGAAUUCAGUUUUAUUGAAAUACAACUUUGAGAAGUUGCGCUACUAUAAUAGUAAAAAUUUCUGUUCUGAUCUACAUGGAGUGAGUUCCUGUGUUUAAGACAAGUAUUUGCUGAAAGGCUGCUUUUGUAUAAAAGCAGUUAUUUUGUAUUUGUAAAGCUUUGUCCUAUUAGCCUAUUUUAGACUGAUUAAAAAUAAGCACAUCCUAUUUUUCCUGUGACGAUGAAGUGUAACAUGAGACACCGCACACGUUUCUGCGUGAUGAUGUGUAGUGUUACAAUACGAGGUAAUGACUGAACUUUGGAGAGGAGCUGAGGAGUGCAAAUAACAAGAGCCAGCAGAGAAAGCAAAGGAUAAACUAUAUAUUCUAUGUAUAUGUGUGGUGUAUGAUGGACACGGACUCUGCAGGGUGUAGGCACAGAAUCACUUUAUUAUAAAAUUCUCUAAUUAUAUAUAGCAUUUCAGUGAAGGGGAGGCCCCUUCACUCCCCAGUCACCACCCGAUUCAUGUUCCCGGUAUGGCUUGAUGCUUUUAUCUUCGGUUGCUUCUGGCAGGAGCUUGACUCUUGUUUCUCAGCUCCUUAUCUCCGGAAUUUAGCCAGCCACCUGUUGUUUGCAAACCGCUGGAACAUGCAGAGCUUGCUCUGUACGUGUCCUUUUUUUGAUCCAUCAUCCUUGGCCGUUUCAGCAAACAGGCUGAAGCUGCAUAUUUCUCAUGCCGUUUUUAUUAAACAAGACGUUGCUCUCCACAUGUAUGGUAACGUAAAGAAAGCCAAUAACGGUAAGUCCGUUAUUUUUCUAGUUUCUUCUGUGUACAAAUGGAUUUUGUACAUUGCUUGUGCAUUCUCAUAUUGAGUGCAUUUUUUACUUUUAUACUGUUCAACUACAAAGCCCAGUAUUUGCUUAAAUGUUAUUUCUUAGUUACAAUAAAGUUACACCUUUAUCUUCAAGACCACUUCAUGUGGAAAGGCUGUCCCUAAGUAGAACCCACCACCUUUGCCUUCUGAGUGGAACUUUCACUAAAUGGUGUGUUCACUUCCAUAGACUCUGCAGUACUGCUGUAGUGAUGAGCUUAGAUUUUAUAUUGUACGCUUGCUCUUCAAAUGUAGUCUAGAUUUAAAAUGGAAAUCUAAAUUUAAGCUUCCAUUUAUAUUUUGUAACUUUAGUGUUUUUCUAAAGACAUUUCAAAGCUUUCAUUUUUAUGUUUAAGAUCAUCCUGAAGUUCUAGAACUUAUUAAUAUUUUAUUAAAUACGUGCUUAAUUUUUAAUCCAACUUGUUUCUUUUUGGUUAAAACCUUAGGUUUUUUUCUGGUAUAGAAUUAUUUAGACCCUGAGAAAUGUAGUCUGAAUUAUUUUUAUGAGAGCCUAUACAUUGGGGUUUUUUUUCUCCAGUUGUUCUUAAUGGACACUGCCGUAUGUUUGAAAUAAUAUUAGCUUGGGGCUAUAUUCUGCUCUUCAACAGAGUCGCCUAGCUGGAGCAAAAGCGCCUCGCAAAUGCUGCCUAACUGGGCUGGGGGUGCCAAAGCUCGUUAUCCCUGUGUGGUGCUGCAUUGUGUUCUCCGGAUAAAGAUUAAAAUACAUUUCCCAGUUUGCCCAGUUCAAGUGGUUUUUUUUUUCCUUUUCCAUAUUACAGUAUCCUGACCUUUAAUAAAUUAUGAGGGGUUUUUUUGCAUGUCAAAUCAUAACUGUCACUAUGAUCAAGUAUUUCCUGGGCCAGAAUGAGAGAAGUUAUGUUUGAAGGAAAUAUCCACAAAGAAUUUUAGAUUAAUUGCAUCUGGAGGAAGAUGAGUGGACAUCAAUACACUUAAACUGAUUAAAGGAGCAUAACAAAUCCACCUGACUUCUGCGGAAGGGUAGGCUACAUGAUUACUGUAAUCCUUUCUAGAUUCAGGUAUAUGUGAAUAGAUCCCUCUAAGGAAUAUGAUUCUGUCAAAAGUGCAAUAUAUAGAAACAAAUUUUUCAUUUGCAGUGAUCAUGAACUUUUACCUCAUCUGUCUUUCUGGAUCCUAUGAUCAAAAUGUGAGGGCGGCUCCUAUUCAAGUUGCUGCCUAGUGCAUGACAUGUAUGCAGAUUGCUUCAAAAUCCGCUUUUGCUCUGCAUAAACUAUAAACUAGUGGAAUACAGGUGAGUUCUUAUCCAAAGAUGUGAUGUUCAAGCUGCAUGGCAAGGCCCACUUCAAGUACUGAAUUUUUGGAGCUGGCUGGGAUCAGCCAGGAGCACAGACCUGUCGGCAAAAUUUAUGCAUAGGCCAGUUUUUAAUCUAGUGAAAAGUGCAGUUGGAUAUACUCAUAAUCUGAGAUUAAAGCCCAUUUAAUCUGAGCACAGAGCAUUUGGAUUGCAGUUAAUUUGUUCAGCUGAUCUAAAAUAUAGAUGGAGAUAACACAGGUUGGUGUGAAAGACCACAGAGCUGAAGCUGAUAGCUGAAGGAAGGGCUUAAGUUUCAGCUCUAUUUGUAGCCAAGCCAGUUGAAUGGGCCUUCUCCUGCCAAAACAGAGGAACCCUGGCUUCACUUUUCCCUUCAGUGUUCUGAACUACACGGUUUCAUCCCAUCUUUAAGCUGGGUUCUGCUGCUCAUCAGCGAGAGGUCUUUUUUGGCCAACUCUCAGUUGAGGCAUCACCUGAAACCUUAGUACUGAAAGAAGGCUAGGGUUGUUAGGACCUUUUCACAUGACAGUCAUGUUUGAAGUUGAUUUUAUAAUAAAAACCGUAAAGCAUACGAACUCUGCAGGGACCUGCACUUUGUAUAGGAAUGGCAGUUCAAUAAGCUAAAUGACUGAGGCACUGACUAUGUUUAGACAAUCCUGUGUAUGCUUUAAUUCUACUCACUCGUAAGUGCGCUUGUUGCAUUUUUAAUACGCUUUUAGCUGGAAAAUAGUUUUAUCAUUGGGUUCUCUCCUUGGAUUGGAUUUUAUUUUGUUGUUCCAUUAAAAUGAAGUAUAGCACAUUUCCACACUUUUGUAAAUGGAUUUUGAAUGUAUGUUUUGAAUAUUCAAGUAAAAAUUGGAGAUCAUAAACAAUCUUUCAGGCAUUAGAGGAAUAAAAAGACAGACACGCAGCAUAUUAAGUUACAGCAGAUGCUGAACUCCAGCUGUCAUCAGCAAAUGUCAACACAAGUGUAGCUGACAGCAAGGAAACUGCCCAGUGCACAAAGGUACAAGAAAAAUGUUGAAAAGAGUUUUCAGGCUCCUCGAGAUUUUGUUCAGAGAAACACGGCCUACAGUUGCUGUGAAGGCCAUGAAAGACUGCAAUACCUUUUGAUUCCUUGUGAAAGAUAUUUGGCCACUAAUGCUGAACAGUCAUACAGACACUAAGGAAAGGAUGGCAUCUUGCACUUCUUUGAAAGUCCCCUUCCCCCAUCAAGCUAAAACACUCUUACUUACGUUUUCCAUUCCAGAAAAGCAAGUGAGAACUAGCACCAUUUUACACAGGAAGGUGGAUGCAGAAAUAGUUGUAAUUCUAAAGAUCUGUAGUCUUUACAGUAAAGAUCUGUGACAUAGUCAUGUCUCCAAAUUUAAUUUUCGGUGUAAAUUUAUUUCUCCCUCAGUGGACCACUAAUAUAAGACCAUUGCUUCAGCCCUCAAUCUAUUUGCAGAAUUCGUACUGCCAUUAAAUGGUAGUUGUGCACGUACGUAUAGAUUAAGAAUGUCUGUCUGUAACAAAUAGCUGGUUAUAGAAGUACUUUAAAUAAGGGCAUAAAGGCAUGAAAACUGGCAUAAAAAUCUGUUGAUUCUAACCGGCGUGUCACAAAUUGGAAAAUACACGUUACUGUGAAAGUGAAAGAUACACACUGCCUAAACUUACUUAAACUCCAAUAGUAACUAAAGUGCUACCAUAAAGCAGAAAUUGGGUAUGGCAUUAGCUUUUUCUAGGUUUAAAAUUUUUACUUCACAAUUUGCGUGACCUUGAUUUGAUCCUCUAAAAAACUGCAUUUUGCAGCAUCUCAGCUCAGAGAGCUUUAUGAGAUUUGCUUUGUGGUAUAUAAAGCCAGAAAAAGUGUUUUCAUCAUAAGGUUAAAGACAAGUUUCUGUUAUGAGUCAUGCUAUCACUUCGUAAUGUUAAUGUUUAACAAUAGCUUUCUAAAAAUUUUAAGAGUACUUAGAAGUCAGCUAUACUGGAAGACAUUAUUACAGAACCGCUGCCAUCACCACCUUGUUCAGAAUGCAUCCAGUCAAAGGAGCUUGUGAGCCUGUCAGUCCUAACAGCUUCCUGUGAAAUACUGAAGAUUUAUCCCUGUGCAAAACAUCCAAAAAUUUGAAGAACUCCGUUCCUGCUUUACUUCACAUGUGAUAGCUUAGCAUAUUCUACUCCUUUCCCCCUUGCUUUGUCAGAUAGUGGUAAGAGAAGCAAAUGGAAACUGAGUUUUCACCACAUAAGAUGUAUGGUUUUAUUAUGAAUUACACGUGGAUUAGGGGAAAAAGUUCAGCAGCAACUAGAAUAAAACAUUAAGACCUGGACUUAAAAUAUGUGAUUAAGAAAACUGCAGAGCCAUGCUAUUAAUUUUAGGGCAGUUUUUGUCUUUGUUUUCCACAUCUAAGCAAGGUCACACACUCAACUAUGGUAACAUCCAAAGAGUACACUCCGUUACUGUUUCAGAUUAAGCUCUG